GGCGUGGCUCAGUGGUAGAGCAGCUGCUUUGCAUGCAGAAGGUCCCAGGUUCAAUCCCCAGCAUCUCCA